CCAUUGUGUGCCAUUACAUCAUCAUCAUCGUCUUCCAAUCAGCAUGCAGCAAGAUGCCCAGUACCCCAUUGAACCCUAAAAUAUUAGACAGAGGCAUUGCAGCCUGUAAGAAUUGAAUAUAUCUGCUUCAAGUAUGAAUGUUUCACAACCAGAUUUAUCACUUUGGCUAGUCUUGGUGGCAGGCAGUGCGUAGAGGGUACAUUGAAUUUACUGCAUACUAAUGCAGUCAUUCUCCACAGACUUCAUGUUUAUUUCAAUAUCGCAUUCCUCCCUUGACAAGGCCGCAGACACGCACACAUGCACUCUUUAUUUCUCUGAGCCAUCAGAGAGCAAACGGAGAUGCGCACAGUUAUGACUAUAACUACUGUUCCCUGAAGGAGGGAAUUAGCUAUAACACACUAUGAAGAGUCAACGACCAAUCCUAUUCACCUGAAGAACUGUACUGAAAUCACACCCAACGGACCAAUGGAUGCCGAGCCCUCCCUCGGAAGCCCCGCCUUCCUGGCUAUAAUACCGGAGCUCGCAAUAAUUUCCUCAUUCCCUCCUUUAGGGAAACAAUAGUUAUUUUCACAACUGUAUAUUCCCUUUCAGUUGGUCACUCUGUAUAACAUACUAUGGGUUACAUACAAUCACGCCAAAAGCCAGCUCAGAGGGUACCAAACUAGGAGACUCAACGCAGCCCAAGCACAUACAGGUUCCACCGGCUCCAAAAAGAGGUUACAGAAGACACCUUUUUCCCUACUACUUAACUGUGAAGCAUGAACUGUUAAAGCCUCAUUAGGCCUGAACUGUCAGAUCCCCAUAUAGGGAACCAGAACCUGCUGCAACUUGGCUAUAAGCACAGAAUCGCUGCCACUGCAGCCCAAGUCCAUAGACCCAACUAUUCUAAGAACAAUACUUACCAUACAAGCCUGAAAUGUCAGAACUACAAAACAACAGAACACCUGUCGGGACUUUGUAAAGCAUACACACGUUCUGCAUAGCAUCAACCAGAGUCGAUGAACCACGGCAGCUCGAGGCGCACAAGAAACCUGCAGUAACCUGGAAACGGUGUACUCGUAUGCUGCCACGGCAGCCCAAGGCUCAAACUGUGGUAACACGGAUAAAUGUGAAAUCUGCACGCUGACGAACGCGCACUCCCAGACCCAGUGUAACAGUGUUGCUUCCGUCUCUCUCCUUGCCCCAACCUGGGCUCAAACCAGGAACCCUCUGAACAACUCAACAACUGCCUCCCAUGAACCAUUGUUACCUAUCGUUCCACAAAGCCUCGGCCCUUGCAGAGCAAGGGAAACAACAACUUCAAGGUCUCAGAGCGAGUGAUGCCACUGAUUGAAAAGCUAUUAGCGUCCACCCCGCUAACUAACUAGCCAUUUCACAGACACUACAUCAGCCAUAAGAACAACAUGAGACACAGGGAGGAGUUACAUCCAAGCAAUAAAACCUCACAAAGGUAUGUGGGGAACCCCAACUCGCUACACCACAGACAUCACCAAUCAUCAUACACCUGAACACUGCCCAAGAAGCUGCCACACCCCUAGUAGAGUGAGCUUGCACACCACCAGGCAACCCUUGUCCUUUGUUGUCACAGGCCAGGGAGAAAGCCUCCACAAUCCAAUGAGAAAGACGGUGCUUUUAAAGCGCCCUACCCAGAGUUGGAUGAUCAAAACAGACAAAAAGCUGGUCACAACGCUGAUAUCCUUGGUCCUAUCCAUAUACGUGCGUAAAGUGCACACCAGACACCGGCCAUGCAACCUGCGUUGUUCACUGGAAGCAAACGGAGGAGGUGAGAAAGGAAAAGUUCGAAUGCCAGAACCUGUAAGAUAUAGGCAUAACCUUGGGAGCAAACUGCAUUAGGACGUAACCUCACUUUGGAGUCAAUACUGUAUGCGCAAGAUCCCCAAUGCCCUUGGCUGAGACAUAGAACAUGAGCAGGGCAGUCUUGUAGGAAAGGACCUCCACGUCCACAGACUCCAAUGGUUCAAACAGUGCUAGCCUCCCCACACUGACUUCCUGUCAAGGCAAGGGCUGAUUUCAAGGUUUUACUGCUCACCUACAAAGCAUUACACGGGCUUGCUCCUACCUAUCUCUCUGAUUUGGUCCUGCCGUACAUACCUACAUGUACGCUACGGUCACAAGACGCUGGCCUCCUAAUUGUCCCUAGAAUUUCUAAGCAAACAACUGUAGGCAGGGCUUUCUCCUAUAGAGCUCAAUUUUUAUGGAAUGGUCUGCCUACCCAUGUGAGAGACGCAAACUCAGUCUCAACCUUUAAGUCUUUACUGAAGACUCAUCUCUUCAGUGGGUCAUAUGAUUGAGCGUAGUCUGGCCCAGGAGUGUGAAGGUGAAUGGAAAGGCUCUGGAGCAACGAACCACCCUUGCUGUCUCUGCCUGGCCGGUUCCCCUCUUUCCACUGGGAUUCUCUGCCUCUAACCCUAUUACAGGGGAUGAGUCACUGGCUAACUGGUGCUCUUUCAUGCCGGGUUACCCCCCCCCCCCCCUCCCCCUUGGGUUGUGCCGUGGCAGAGAUCUUUGUGGGCUAUACACGGCCUUGUCUCAGGAUGGUAAGUUGGUGGAUGAAGAUAUCCCUCUAGUGGUGUGGGGGCUGUGUUUUGGCAAAGUGGGUGGGGUUAUAUCCUUCCAUCAUCAGAUGGGGCCACAGUGUCUCCUGACCCCUCCUGUCUCAGCCUCCAGUAUUUAUGCUGCAGUAGUUUAUGUGUCGGGGGGCUAGGGUUAGUUUUUUAUAUCUGGAGUACUUCUCCUGUCUUAUCCGGUAUCCUGUGUGAAUUUAAGUAUACUCUCUCUAAUUCUCUCUUUCUCUCUUUCUUUCUCUCUCUCGGAGGACCUGAGCCAUAGGACCAUGCCUCAGGACUACCUGGCAUGAUGACUCCUUGCUGUCCCCAGUCCACCUGGCCGUGCUGCUGCUCCAGUUUCAACUGCUCUGACUGUGGCUAUGGAAUCCUGAUCUGUUCACCGGACGUGCUACCUGCCCCAGACCUAUUAUUUGAUUUAUGAUUUGUCAUUUAUGAACAUUUGACCAUCUUGGCCAUGUUCUGUUAUAAUCUCCACCCGGCACAGCCAGAAGAGGACUGGCCACCCCCCAUAGCCUGGUUCCUCUCUAGGUUUCUUCCUAGGUUUUGGCCUUUCUAGGGAGUUUUUCCUAGCCAACGUGCAUCAACACCUGCAUUGCUUGCUGUUUGGGGUUUUAGGCUGGGUUUCUGUACAGCACUUUGAGAUAUCAGCUGAUAUACGAAGGGCUAUAUAAAUACAUUUGAUUUGAUUUGAUUCAAACAGAGGCUCAUACAGAGUAUCCAGGACCAACGCCAGAUCCCAGGUCUUUGCUAUAGGCUUAGACCCUGAUCCGAGCCUACACACGUCUUUCAGGAAACCCACCACCAGAGGAUGAGACCCCAGGGUAGAGCCGUCCAUCCCUACCUGACACGUUGAAAUGGCUGACAUAUAAACCUGCUCAAAUAGCUCUUGCAAGAACAUCAAAAUGUCCACCAAAGAGCUCUGAAAAGCAGAAACUCCCUCACCCUGACAUCCACCCUCAAACGCGUGCCACUUAUAUGUACACAACCCUCUUGUAGAGGAUGCACGCGUCGACUGUAUAGUCGUAAUCAGGUUUGAGGAUAAACCCCUAGCCAUUAAAUUCCACCUUUCAGGGGCCAAACCCACAGAUCCCAUAUCUAUGGUCAUAGGUGCCAAAUCCUUCCGUGGGAAAAUAGAUCCCAAUGGCACAGAACGCCCCACAGGUCCCCGCCCAACAAACGCAUGAUUCAGAACCAAGUCCAGAACUAGACCCAGAAACUGAAUGCACAACUUUCUCUGUGAUUUAUGAUGAAUCCCAGCUACUGAAUAUGGUAAACCAGCAUGCAAGUGUGGAGCUCCAACUUUCCCUCGACGCCGCUACGACCAGCCAAAUGUCCAGAUAAGCCAAUACUCUUAUCCCAUGGCACCGCACCGGUGCCAAAGCCGCCUGAACCACCAUAAAAAAGGUGUGGGCGAUAGGGAGAUGGGGAGGAUGUAUAACACAUGAAAAUAUGCAUCCUUAAGAUCUAUGGACGUGAACCAAUUGCUGGGUCACGCAAUGACUGCAAUAGCCGGCGAAGUGUGAGUAUUUUGAACUUGCAACCUUGAGGUGCAUGUUUAAAACAUGCAAGUCCAGGAUGGGACGCAAUGUUCCAUCGCUCUUGGGAACUAAGAAGUACCGGCUAUACCAACAGCUCUGUACUUCUGACACAGGGACCACCCGAAUAGCCUGCUUUUGAAGGAGAUCUCCUCUCUCCAGGCAGGUGCUAGGACCUCGGGGACCGACAACGUAAUGACACCACGAAAAGGAGGAGGAUUCACAGCGAACUGCAGACCGUACACCCUCGUUUCCAUCCUCAUCACCCAUGGUGACUGCACAUGCCCGCCACUGAAUGGAGCACGCUGCCAGUCUUCCAUACAUUAUCUCAAGGGGCAGAGUGCCAACCUGAGAACUGGGAUAAUUUCGAUUUUUUUGUCAAGCUGUUUUCAUAUCCAUCACCCUUGAUAAUCGUGUGUCUGAACGUGGGGAAGGAACUAUGCGUUCUGAUACCUGGCCCACAUCGUGUUUGGGGACACCCAUGCUUGGAUUAGCCACCUUACUAGACUCUGGAGCCAAAUAGCGUGCCACUCAUCUGCAAAAUAUUUAAACAUAGGUAAGCGACAUUUCAACUCUGCCGGCACAGGAGGUAAAUACCUUCCCCCACACCUGGAGGCACUCCUCUGUGGCGGAGAUAAGCACCAUCAAAGGCACAUUCACCAAAUCAAAUCAAAUUUUAUUUGUCACAUACACCACCAAUGGUUCACUCGCCCUCGCCGAAUCCAAAGCCGGGACUUUAGGCUGCCCCGGUCUGAUGUCAUCCAAUUUACACUCUGAAAACCCUCCAGAACCAAUCAGGGAUAGUAUAUCAUUCCAUGGAAUCCAGACUCUGAACAUUGUCAGAGAAACCGAAAUGAGCCUAACUCAGCUGAGAUGACACCCAUAUCAAUUCCCAUCACCAAUCUUCCUCACAAAGUCAACCCAACUCCGAAUGGAAGUUGAACUUAGCCAGAGCAGUGGUCACACAAACUGUUCCGAGCCAAUGCCUCCUGAGCAUGAUUCCACCCCAGGCAAUAGUACAGCACUCGUGAGCUGAAGAGCCCCGGUGUUAUAGCCAGGAAGGCGGGGCUUCCGAGGGUGGGAUCAACAUCCACUGGCCCGUUGGGCAUCAUUUCAGUUUGCUUCAGGUGAAUAGGAUUGGUCUUUGACUCCCCAUAAUACAUUAUACCGAGUGAUCGACUGAAAGGGAACUGAAUUUCAUUGUGAGGUAAUCCAAGUGAAAUGUCUGCUAUGUCUAUGUAAUUGAUGUUACCCUAGAAAGCCUCAUUUUCAGCUGAUUGGGAAUGUCUGCUAUGUUACUUUAUGUUCCCCUGCCACAGAGAUAAUGUAGCAUGUUAUAAACCAGGACUUGAAAACAUUCUUCAUCUUAAGAGUUUGUUACCAUAGGUUAAAAGAGGUUCAUUAACUAUACAAUACAUCUCAGCUCAUCCAACAAGAUGUGCAUUGUAGAUGACAUUUGCCACCUCUUGAUUCUUUUGCAAUUAUUUUGAACCUUGAAGAGAUUACCUGAAUGAGAUCCAGUUUUGUAAUAUGAAAGGACUGCCGAAAUCUUGUCCUUGGGACAUUGUUCCAAAGUAAUAUUAAUCAAAUGCUAUGGAUCUUUUUUUCUUCAUCUAUUAUGGGAUAAAUCGAGUGUAAUCCAUCAGACAGGAGAUUAAUGUUGAUCUACUACUUAAAAUGUCUUAUUUGUGGUUUCUUAACUCUGAGACAUGCUUGGAUUCUUUUGUUAUCACAGAUAUCUCUUUCAUGCUGUUCUGUGAGUCACCACUUUUCCUGUAAGUUGGACAAACUUAAAUGGUCCACACCAUACAGAUAGUGUGGGGAAGAAGGCAGCGCCUCUUCAACCUGAAGAAAUGUGUCUUGUCACUCAAAACCCUGACAAACUUUUACAGAUGCACAAUCGAAAGCAUCCUGUCAGGCUGUAUCACAGCCUGGUACGGCAACUGCACCGUCCUCAGCCGCAAGGCUUUCCAGAGGGUGGUCCGGUCUGCAUCAACGGGGGAAAACUACCUAGCCUCCAUGAGACCUACAGCACCCGAUGUCACAGGAAGGCC
ensembl:lncRNA